GAUGAACGCUGGCGGCGUGCCUAAUACAUGCAAGUCGAGCGAACAGACGAGGAGCUUGCUCCUCUGACGUUAGCGGCGGACGGGUGAGCAACACGUGGAUAACCUACCUAUAAGACUGGGAUAACUUCGGGAAACCGGAGCUAAUACCGGAUAAUAUAUUGAACCGCAUGGUUCAAUAGUGAAAGACGGUUUUGCUGUCACUUAUAGAUGGAUCCGCGCACGCAUUAGCUAGUUGGUAAGGUAACGGCUUACCACGGCGACGAUGCGUAGCCGGCCUGAGAGGGUGAUAGGCCACACUGGAACUGAGACACGGUCCAGACUCCUACGGGAGGCAGCAGGAGGGAAUCUUCCGCAAUGGGCGAAAGCCUGCCGGAGCAACGCCGCGUGAGUGAUGAAGGUCUUCGGAUCGUAAAACUCUGUUAUUAGGGAAGAACAAAUGUGUAAGUAACUAUGCACGUCUUGAUGGUACCUAAUCAGAAAGCCACGGCUAACUACGUGCCAGCAGCCGCAGUAA
rnacentral:rRNA from 1 species